rnacentral:rRNA from 1 species
GAUGAACGCUGGCGGCGUGCCUAAUACAUGCAAGUCGAGCGAACGGACGAGAAGCUUGCUUCUCUGAUGUUAGCGGCGGACGGGUGAGUAACACGUGGAUAACCUACCUAUAAGACUGGGAUAACUUCGGGAAACCGGAGCUAAUACCGGAUAAUAUUUUGAACCGCAUGGUUCAAAAGUGAAAGACGGUCUUGCUGUCACUUAUAGAUGGAUCCGCGCUGCAUUAGCUAGUUGGUAAGGCAACGGCUUACCAAGGCAACGAUGCAUAGCCGACCUGAGAGGGUGAUCGGCCACACUGGAACUGAGACACGGUCCAGACUCCUACGGGAGGCAGCAGUAGGGAAUCUUCCGCAGUGGGCGAAAGCCUGACGGAGCAACGCCGCGUGAGUGAUGAAGGUCUUCGGAUCGUAAAACUCUGUUAUUAGGGAAGAACAUAUGUGUAAGUAACUGUGCACAUCUUGACGGUACCUAAUCAGAAAGCCACGGCUAACUACGUG